rfam:Triticum aestivum genome assembly, contig: Triticum_aestivum_CS42_TGACv1_scaffold_501144_6BL
GAGGUACUCCCUCCGUUCCAAAUUACUCGUCGCUUAAAUUGAUGUAUCUAGAACUAAAAUACAUCUAGAUACGUCCAUAUGUGCAACAAGUAAUUUGGAACGGAGGGAGUAGUAG